ACCUAGCUGGCCCAGUUGGUACAGCAUGUGACUCUUGAUCUCAGGGUUGUAAGUUCAAGCCCUGUGUUGGGUA
rfam:Felis catus isolate Cinnamon breed Abyssinian chromosome D4, whole genome shotgun sequence.